AGAGUUUGAUCCUGGCUCAGAUUGAACGCUGGCGGCAGGCCUAACACAUGCAAGUCGAGCGGCAGCGGGAAAGUAGCUUGCUACUUUUGCCGGCGAGCGGCGGACGGGUGAGUAAUGCCUGGGAAAUUGCCCAGUCGAGGGGGAUAACAGUUGGAAACGACUGCUAAUACCGCAUACGCCCUACGGGGGAAAGCAGGGGACCUUCGGGCCUUGCGCGAUUGGAUAUGCCCAGGUGGGAUUAGCUUGUUGGUGAGGUAAUGGCUCACCAAGGCGACGAUCCCUAGCUGGUCUGAGAGGAUGAUCAGUCACACUGGAACUGAGACACGGUCCAGACUCCUACGGGAGGCAGCAGUGGGGAAUAUUGCACAAUGGGGGAAACCCUGAUGCAGCCAUGCCGCGUGCGUGAAGAAGGCCUUCGGGUUGUAAAGCACUUUCAGCGAGGAGGAAAGGUUGAUGCCUAAUACGCAUCAGCUGUGACGUUACUCGCAGAAGAAGCACCGGCUAACUCCGUGCCAGCAGCCGCGGUAAUACGGAGGGUGCAAGCGUUAAUCGGAAUUACUGGGCGUAAAGCGCACGCAGGCGGUUGGAUAAGUUAGAUGUGAAAGCCCCGAGCUCAACCUGGGAAUUGCAUUUAAAACUGUCCAGCUAGAGUCUUGUAGAGGGGGGUAGAAUUCCAGGUGUAGCGGUGAAAUGCGUAGAGAUCUGGAGGAAUACCGGUGGCGAAGGCGGCCCCCUGGACAAAGACUG
rnacentral:rRNA from 1 species